GAUGAACGCUGGCGGCGUGCUUAACACAUGCAAGUCGAACGGAAAGGCUCCUGCUUGCAGGGGUACUCGAGUGGCGAACGGGUGAGUAACACGUGGGUGACCUGCCCUGCACUUCGGGAUAAGCCUGGGAAACUGGGUCUAAUACCGGAUAGGACGAUGGUUUGGAUGCCAUUGUGGAAAGUUUUUUCGGUGUGGGAUGAGCUCGCGGCCUAUCAGCUUGUUGGUGGGGUAAUGGCCUACCAAGGCGUCGACGGGUAGCCGGCCUGAGAGGGUGUACGGCCACAUUGGGACUGAGAUACGGCCCAGACUCCUACGGGAGGCAGCAGUGGGGAAUAUUGCACAAUGGGCGCAAGCCUGAUGCAGCGACGCCGCGUGGGGGAUGACGGCCUUCGGGUUGUAAACUCCUUUCGCUAGGGACGAAGCGCAAGUGACGGUACCUGGAGAAGAAGCACCGGCUAACUACGUG
rnacentral:rRNA from 1 species